UACGUAGGUGGCAAGCGUUGUCCGGAUUUACUGGGCGUAAAGAGCUCGUAGGCGGCUUGUCACGUCGGGUGUGAAAUCCCGUGGCUCAACUGCGGGUCUGCAUUCGAUACGGGCAGACUAGAGUGCGGUAGGGGAGACUGGAAUUCCAGGUGUAGCGGUGAAAUGCGUAGAUAUCUGGAGGAACACCGGUGGCGAAGGCGGCAUCCUGGACCGGCAU
rnacentral:rRNA from 1 species